rnacentral:rRNA from 1 species
GUGCCAGACUCCUACGGGAGGCAGCAGUGGGGAAUAUUGCGCAAUGGGGGCAACCCUGACGCAGCAACGCCGCGUGAUUGAAGAAGGCCUUCGGGUUGUAAAGAUCUUUAAACAGGGACGAAGAAAUGACGGUACCUGAAGAAUAAGCUCCGGCUAACUACGUGCCAGCAGCCGCGGUAAUACGGAGGAUGCGAGCGUUAUCCGGAUUUAUUGGGUUUAAAGGGUGCGUAGGCGGAAUGCCAAGUCAGCGGUAAAAUCGCGGGGCUCAACCUCGCUCCGCCGUUGAAACUGGCGUUCUUGAGUGGGCGAGAAGUAUGCGGAAUGCGUGGUGUAGCGGUGAAAUGCAUAGAUAUCACGCAGAACUCCGAUUGCGAAGGCAGCAUACCGGCGCCCAACUGACGCUGAAGCACGAAAGCGUGGGUAUCGAACAGGAUUAGAUACCCGGGUAGC